UGGGGAAUAUUGCGCAAUGGGCGAAAGCCUGACGCAGCCAUGCCGCGUGUGUGAAGAAGGCCUUCGGGUUGUAAAGCACUUUCAAUUGGGAAGAAAGGUUGCGUGUUAAUAGCACGUAGCUGUGACGUUACCUUUAGAAGAAGCACCGGCUAACUCCGUGCCAGCAGCCGCGGUAAUACGGAGGGUGCGAGCGUUAAUCGGAAUUACUGGGCGUAAAGCGCGCGUAGGCGGUUUGUUAAGUCGGAUGUGA
rnacentral:rRNA from 1 species